rnacentral:rRNA from 1 species
UAAUACGGAAGAUGCGAGCGUUAUCCGGAUUUAUUGGGUUUAAAGGGAGCGUAGGCGGAAGAUUAAGUCAGCCGUGAAAUCCCGUCGCUUAACGACGGAACUGCGGUUGAUACUGGUUUUCUUGAGUGCACAUAAGGAAGGUGGAAUUUGUGGUGUAGCGGUGAAAUGCUUAGAUAUCACGAAGAACUCCGAUUGCGAAGGCAGCCUUCUGGGGUGCAACUGACGCUGAGGCUCGAAAGUGCGGGUAUCAAACAGGAUUAGAUACCCUGGUAGUCCGCACAGUAAACGAUGAAUACUCGCUGUUGGCGAUAUACGGUCAGCGGCCAAGCGAAAGCAUUAAGUAUUCCACCUGGGGAGUACGCCGGCAACGGUGAAACUCAAAGGAAUUGACGGGGGCCCGCACAAGCGGAGGAACAUGUGGUUUAAUUCGAUGAUACGCGAGGAACCUUACCCGGGCUUGAACUGCAGUGGACGGUUUCAGAGAUGAUUCUUCCCUUCGGGGUCGCUGCAGAGGUGCUGCAUGGUUGUCGUCAGCUCGUGCCGUGAGGUGUCGGCUUAAGUGCCAUAACGAGCGCAACCCUUCUCGAUAGUUGCCAUCAGUAAUGCUGGGCACUCUGUGAUACUGCCAUCG